GUUGGUGUGUUUAUCGGUGCAGCAACAGAACAUUUUCCAGAGACAGUUUUCCUGCCCGUUGGCUUGUUUUAACCAGUUUUCUACCUUCGGCUGAUUCUACCAGCAGACACUGAAAGGACUCUGAUAGUUCGAGUGAAAGUAGCAGUUCCUCCUUAAGGUCAGAGAUUGCAGCAUCUGAGGGCCUCUUCAAAAGAAGACGUAGUUGAUGAAGGCGUUCUGGAGCAGGACCAGAAAGACCACGACCAAGCAGCCUUGAGAUCUUAGGCAGCGUCUCCCUCAGGUCCCUCUCUAUCUCCCCACACAUCCACCAACCACUGGAACACAUCUUCAAAGUUCUGCCAGGCCAGCUCAGCUUCCCCUCAGAAGAAGUUCCACCAGAUGAAGGAGCCUUUUGAGAGGCAGCUGGCAUCGUGAUUGGACUGUACUUCGGUCUGUUCCAAUCCAGCUUCAGCUCCAGAGACGGCAGGCAGGACGAGUCAACGGAGGCCGGGUGGACGAAGGCAUGCAGCUGAGUACAAUCCAGAAAACAACAGAGGAGGAGUGCAGCUGCCCAGAGCCAGAACAGAGUAUGUCUCUUAGAAAACAUCAUAGUAUAGCCUUUGGUAUGAAAAAAACACCAUCAUAUACAUCGUAUAUUGUACAAAUAACAAGUCAAAGGAAAGAGACAUACAUUGUAGAAUUGUAGUAAUUGUGGGCUGACUGAUUUACUGAUUAUCAGUAUUUUAUUUUUUACUGAUUUAUGGUAAUAAAUACAUUUAAAAAUG